UCUUGGUGAUGAUUGAAAGCACACUGAGCAAAAUGGAGUUGGUCCUUCGUUUGCACUGGCUGAUGCUAUUGUUGUUUUCAAGACGGGACUGAAAGAAGC
rnacentral:snoRNA from 1 species